ACCCUCCUCUCACCCUCACAUUUGUACUUUGUGGCUUUGUACCCUGGGAAGUCUUGAGGAAGCCUUUGGUGACCGGAGCUGUACAGAUAUGAAGGGAUGGUCUCCAGCCAGAGGACUUCAGUCAUCUGCAUCCAUUAAGAUGUGUGUCCUGAUUGUGCUUCAUAACAAAUAUUCUCAGAAUGCCAGAAGCUAAAUGGAACUGUGCCAAGUGCUCCAUUACACCUGUGCAGCUAGCUAAGCUGAAGAACUGCUCGGGAACUGCACUUAUUUCAAGACUGAAAAGUACUUUAAAUUCGGAAUGUUGGAGGUACCUUGGAAGAAGAGUCCAGGAAGCAGGCUCAAAAAGACUGGUCAGAGAGUUACUGGCAAAGCAUCGCCAAAAGGGUAUCCAUACUUAGAAAUGCAUGCAGGAUCACUCAAUGAUGUGCUAAACACUCGUCAAAAGCAGAGAUAAGGGAUUUUGGCCAAGGAGAGAUAACAGAGGAUGGAUGGCCUAAAGAGGAGAGAAGAGGACACUUACUGACUGCCUGAAACAGGAGUGGCUGCUGGCCCCAAGAUCAACAGCACCAAAGUGGAACACAUUGUCUUCCUCUCAGAACAAACGCCUCUGCCUUCCAACCUCUUUAUUUCUGUUAAUGCCCCCACCCCAUCCCCAAGCCCAGUCUUCUAGUUUACUGGACGUAGACACUGGAAGUCACUGUGUGUUUCUCACACUCUCCUAAGUCCUGCAGACAUCUCAUAAGUCAUCAAAAGCCUCUCGAUUAAUCCUUCGUUACAUCUCCAGCAGCCUGAAGAAUGCUUUGUCAGGCUGAUGACACUGCUGCUGGAGGAGCAGCAGUGGGAGGGGUUAUGGGGCCAGUCUUCCUUAGCCGUCCUACCUGGUGGGUGACUCUGUGGGUUUUCUUGCAGGUGGUUGGGAUUGCCCUAGGAGUGCUUCUGUGGAUUGGGUGAUGAGACUACUCUUCCAAGACUCUGCACCCCUCCAACCCUGGGAUAAGAUUCUGUUAAGUGCAAUGCAACUACAUGCCAUUUUUAAAAGACAAAGCAGAAAUAUAGGGCACUGCUUUAUAGAUUAAAAGCUUGCAGGAACUGUAUGGCACUGGUUUUUAAAAACCAUGCACACACAUGCACACACACAAAUAUGCACAAUUACAUACACAAACUUUUUUGAAAAUUCUCACGUGUGAGUGUAUUUAAUUCUGCUUUAUAGUCAAAUCACAACACCAAAGAGGCACCCCUUAAUUAGCAACAUUCUUAUACAGAGAUAUUCAUGGCUAUGCUAGCUAGGGUAGGCUAAUUGGUGAAACAUAUAAACCCCCAAAUGUAUAAUGAAACAAAAAAGAGGGCAAUUUCUUGCUUGUAUAAGGUCUAAAAUGGGUUUUUCUCAUUGACAGUUGGCUCUCUUUUCAGCAGGGAUUCAGAUCCUUUUCAUCUGUGGCUCUGUCAUUUUCAACAUGUGGCUUCAAAGGUUUGCUUCAAGCCAGUGAAAAGAAAACAAAUAUGAAGAAUAGACUUUUCCAGGCCUGGAAGUGGCACUUAUGACUUUCACUCACAUCCCAACAGCCAGAACUCAGUUAUAUGGGAAAUGUAAUCUAACUGUGUGUCCAUGAAGAACAGGACAUCCGGGAAGCAAUUAGCAGUUUUUUCUACAAUGGUAUGGCAACUGGAUCAGUGUGGAGAAUUUACAGGGCAUCAAAGAAGAACCACUCUUCUUUACCCAACAUGGUGGUGGAGGUACACUAGAGACUCUUGGUGGAGGAAUAGGUCAGACCUAUAAGUGAACAGGAAGCCAGUGGUUACAUUUAGGGGGAAAUAUUUGAAAUUCUAAUAAAGUUUUUUCAUUGUCUAAAAUAUACUGAAAGGAAUUUUCUUAAAUGAACACAUUCUUCAAUAAUACAAAGUUGGCAAAUUGGCAGGUUGAGAAGUAGGCAAUAGCAAUGUGAACUAGUUGGAACUAGACAAGAAACCCAGACUAGAAAAACAAAGCCCAGGCAAAAAUCCAAGAAUGCCAGGGCAAUACCAGCAUGAGAAAUCAGAUAAGUGAAUAGAAACCAGGAAGCCAUAGAAAUUUUGGAGCAGAGUAAAAUUAAAGUUACAAAACCUGGAUGUGAGACCUGGUCCUACUAUUUACAGAUGGAACACAGGAGAACCCACUUAACUUCUCUGAGUUUGUUUAUUCAUGUGUAGACUUGGGGUAAUCAUAUCUACCUCAUAAUAACUGGAGAAUCAAGUGAGAUGA